rnacentral:rRNA from 1 species
UACAGGGGGGGGCAAGCGUUGUUCGGAAUUACUGGGCGUAAAGGGCUCGUAGGCGGCCAACUAAGUCAGACGUGAAAUCCCUCGGCUUAACCGGGGAACUGCGUCUGAUACUGGAUGGCUAGAAUUUGGGAGAGGGAUGCGGAAUUCCAGGUGUAGCGGUGAAAUGCGUAGAUAUCUGGAGGAACACCGGUGGCGAAGGCGGCAUCCUGGACCAACACUGACGCUGAGGAGCGAAAGCCAGGGGAGCAAACAGG